rnacentral:lncRNA from 1 species
ACAGAUAAAAAGACUUAUAAAAGGAGGAGAAUCAUAUAGAUUAGAGGGGAGAGAGAGGAUUUCAUUAGAUUUGAUUAGUGUAGAAUAGGAGAAUACACUAGUUCUUAUGAGAUUUGGAGAUUGAAGCACUUGGAAGCCAUUGGAGAUCAAGAUCAAGAGCGAGACGGAGGACGAAUUUGCCGACAACAAAUUCAAUUCUUUUCCUUAAUCUUAUUCUUAUCUUUUAAUGUGUAUUCAAGUGUGGAUUCUUAGUUUUAAUUCAAUGAACUAAUUCUUUGUUUGAGAUUACAAUGGAUCUUAUUGUGUAGUGUAUUUUUAUAUGCUUCACUAUCAAUUAUUAUGUUCUAUUAUGAGGAUUGUCUAUUGUGAUUUGGACUUAAUUGUUUAAUUGAUUGGCCAUCAAUUACCGUAAUAAUCAUAUGAACUCGAGAGAUGAAGUUUAGAUUUAGAUCCGAUCAUAAUAACAUGUGUUUGUGAU